AGCUUUGUGCAGUGGCAGUAUUGUAGCCAGUGAGGUUUAUCCAAGGCACCAUUAUCAUUAACUGAAAACUUUUCCCAAUACCCCGCCAUGACAACUUGCAAUAUAGUCGGCAUUGGCAAUUUUUGACAAUCUCUAUGGAGA
rnacentral:snRNA from 1 species